rnacentral:misc_RNA from 1 species
AACGCACGAGACCUGCGGACCUGCGGAGGGAUCAUUACCGAGUGCGGGCCGUCGCGGCCCAACCUCCCACCCUUGUCUCUAUACACCUGUUGCUUUGGCGGGCCCACCGGGGUCACCUGGUCGCCGGGGGACGUCUGUCCUCGGGCCCGCGCCCGCCGACGCGCUCUGUGAACCCUGAUGAAGAUGGGCUGUCUGAGUACGAUGAAAAUUGUCAAAACUUUUAACAAUGGAUCUCUAGAU